AUAAAUUAAUCUAAGGGCAGAUGGUGGAUGCCUAGACCAGAAGAGGCGAUGAAGGACGUACUAGGCUGCGAUAAGCCAGGGGGAGCUGCCAAGAAGCUUUGAUCCCUGGAUUUCCGAAUGGGGCAACCCGGCAUGUUGCGAAGCAUGUCACCUUUCGAGGAGCGAACGUGGGGAAGUGAAACAUCUCAGUACCCACAGGAAAAGAAAUCAACCGAGAUUCCCUUAGUAGCGGCGAGCGAAAAGGGAUUAGCCCUAAAGAGUUUAAGGUGUUAGUAGAAUAAGCUGGAAUGCUUGACCGUAGAGGGUGAAAGUCCCGUAUACGAAAACUAAUUAGACUUUAUUCGAGUAGGUCGGGACACGUGAAACCCUGACUGAAUAUGGGAGGACCACCUUCCAAGGCUAAAUACUACUUCAGGAUCGAUAGUGAACCAGUACCGUGAGGGAAAGGUGAAAAGAACCGCAGUGAGCGGAGUGAAAUAGAACCUGAAACCAUCUGCCUACAAUCAUUCAGAGCCCNNGGGUGAUGGACUGCCUUUUGCAUAAUGAGCCUGCGAGUUAUGGUGACUAGCAAGGUUAAACACACGUGAAGCCGUAGCGAAAGCGAGUCUUAAUAGGGCGUUAGUUAGUUGCUGUAGACCCGAAACUAAGUGAUCUAUCCAUGGGCAGGUUGAAGCUGGUGUAAGAGCUAGUGGAGGACCGAACGGGUGGAGGUUUAAAACUCCUCCGAUGACCUGUGGAUAGGGGUGAAAGGCCAAUCAAACUUAGUGAUAGCUGGUUCUCUCCGAAAUAUAUUUAGGUAUAGCGUCAUGUUCGAAGCUAUGGGGGGUAGAGCACUGAUUGGGCUAGGGCCUACACCAAGGUACCAAACCCAGUCAAACUCCGAAUACCCAUAGUGAAUUCAUGGCAGUCAGGUGGUGGGUGAUAAAAUCCAUCAUCGAGAGGGAAACAGCCCAGACUACCAGCUAAGGUCCCAAAGUUCUAUUUAAGUGGAAAAGGAUGUGGAGUUGCUUAGACAACCAGGAGGUUGGCUUAGAAGCAGCCAUCCUUUAAAGAAAGCGUAACAGCUCACUGGUCUAGCGAUUCUGCGCCGAAAAUAUAACGGGGCUAAAAUAGACACCGAAGCUGUAGAUUUAGUAUUUAUACUAAGUGGUAGGAGAGCGUUCUAGUCAGCAUUGAAGCCAUACCGGUAAGGAGUGGUGGAGCGGCUAGAAGUGAGCAUGCAGGCAUGAGUAGCGAUAAAACAGGUGAGAAUCCUGUUCGCCGUAAACCCAAGGGUUCCUACACUAUGCUCGUCAUUGUAGGGUUAGUCGGGUCCUAAGCUGAGUCCGAAAGGGGUAAGCGAUGGCAAAUUGGUUAAUAUUCCAAUACCAACUAAUAGUUUAGUACGAAGGGGGGACGCAUAGGGUUAAACGAGGUCACUGAUGGAAUAGUGGCUCGAAGGGUGUAGAUAAGCUGGAUAGGAAAAUCCGCCGGCUGUUUUCGAGACCUGACAGGCUGAUGACGCGCUUCGGCGUAGAUUCAGAAUCGUUGAUACCGUCGUGCCAAGAAAAGCCUCUAAGUGUAUUAUUAGUUGCCCGUACCGUAAACCGACACAGGUGGGUGAGAUGAGUAUUCUAAGGCGCGUGGAAGAACCCUGGUUAAGGAACUCUGCAAACUAGCACCGUAACUUCGGAAUAAGGUGUGCCUCCUCUUGUAUAGGACUUCGCGUCCAAAAGCGAGAGAGGUUGCAACAAAGAGUCCCUCCCGACUGUUUAUCAAAAACACAGCACUUUGCUAACUCGUAAGAGGAUGUAUAAGGUGUGACGCCUGCCCGGUGCUUGAAGGUUAAUUGAUGGGGUUAGCAUUCGUGCGAAGCUCUUGAUCGAAGCCCCGGUAAACGGCGGCCGUAACUAUAACGGUCCUAAGGUAGCGAAAUUCCUUGUCGGGUAAAUACCGACCUGCAUGAAUGGCGUAACGAGAUGGGAGCUGUCUCAACCAGGGAUCCAGUGAAAUUGUAGUGGAGGUGAAAAUUCCUCCUACCCGCGGCAAGACGGAAAGACCCCGUGCACCUUUACUAUAGCUUGACACUGCAAUUGGGAUAUAUUUGUGCAGGAUAGGUGGGAGGCUUUGAUNNNNNNNNNNNNNNNNNNNNNNNNNNNNNNNNNCGGAGGACAAUGUCUGGUGGGUAGUUUGACUGGGGCGGUCGCCUCCUAAAAAGUAACGGAGGCUUACAAAGGUUGGCUCAGAUGGGUUGGAAAUCCAUCGCAGAGUGUAAUGGCAUAAGCCCGCCUGACUGCGAGACGGACAGGUCGAGCAGAGACGAAAGUCGGUCAUAGUGAUCCGGUGGUCCCGCGUGGAAGGGCCAUCGCUCAA
rnacentral:rRNA from 1 species